AAGGGACCGGGGCGAUCUAAGGGAACCGGGCGGGAACGAGCUGAAGGGACCGGGGCGAUCUGAGGGAACUGGGCUGGAACGAGCUGAAGGGACCGGGGCGAUCUGAGGGAACCGGGCGGGAACGAGCUGAAGGGACCGGGGCGAUCUGAGGGAACCGGGCGGGAACGAGCUGAAGGGACCGGGGCGAUCUGAGGGAACCGGGCGGGAACGAGCUGAAGGGACCGGGGCGAUCUGAGGGAACCGGGCGGGAACGAGCUGAAGGGACCGGGGCGAUCUGAGGGAACCGGGCGGGAACGAGCUGAGGGGACGCGCGCUGAAGGACGGGUGGGAGCGAACUGAGGGAGCUAGAGCUAGAGCUGGAGCUGAGGGACGGGCGGGAACGAGCUGAGGGGACCAGGGCGGCUGAGGGACGGGCGAGAGCGAGCUGAGGGACAGUGGGGACGAGCUGAGGGAACCGGCCGGCUGAAGGAACCAGGGCGGCCCUGAGGGGCGGGCGGGACCGGGCUGAGGGGGAGCCCAGUGCAAGCCCUGAGGGAGCCCAGGCUUGUGUGGCUGGGCGAGCACAGAGGGCCGAUUCCCUUCAAGUGAGGGAUGCAGUUGUGUGAACCUCCAUGGUCUUUCACGGCAUCUUCCAGGAGAAAUUCCGGGUCCGUUCCUCACCCCUGAUUUCUUGUGGUGUCAUGCCAGAGCACUCUGAGAGAGCAGAAGAUAAAGGCACUGACAGAUGAAGUCUAGUCCAAGAUGAAACAGAAAAGCAGUGGAAGAAGAAACCUCAAAUGGUUGCAAAAGGCCAAGCUGGAGUCACUAGAGCCAAAGAGAACUCUUGACACUUUAUCUGACAGCUGAAUUUGUCCCUGUGAGAUCAGAGAUGAACUUUCAUGCUGAUCUGGUAAUUGUCUUUACACAGGGCAAGAAAUUUAUGUGGGGACAGCCAAAACUAGCAAGAUAACGUGUGCAUGUUUAAUUGUUUAAAAAUAAAAGUUGCAAAAAUGUUGGUGUAUCAAUA